AACGAACGCUGGCGGCAUGCCUAACACAUGCAAGUCGAACGAGACCUUCGGGUCUAGUGGCGCACGGGUGCGUAACGCGUGGGAACCUGCCUUUAGGUUCGGAAUAACUCAGAGAAAUUUGAGCUAAUACCGGAUGAUGUCUUCGGACCAAAGAUUUAUCGCCUUUAGAUGGGCCCGCGUUGGAUUAGCUAGUUGGUGGGGUAAAGGCCUACCAAGGCGACGAUCCAUAGCUGGUCUGAGAGGAUGAUCAGCCACACUGGGACUGAGACACGGCCCAGACUCCUACGGGAGGCAGCAGUGGGGAAUAUUGGACAAUGGGCGAAAGCCUGAUCCAGCAAUGCCGCGUGAGUGAUGAAGGCCUUAGGGUUGUAAAGCUCUUUUACCCGAGAUGAUAAUGACAGUAUCGGGAGAAUAAGCUCCGGCUAACUACGUG
rnacentral:rRNA from 1 species